UACGGGGGGAGCAAGCGUUGUUCGGAUUUACUGGGCGUAAAGGGCGCGUAGGCGGUCGUGACAAGUCACUUGUGAAAUCUCCGGGCUUAACCCGGAAAGGUCAACCGAUACUGCGGGGCUAGAGUGCAGAAGGGGCAACUGGAAUUCUCGGUGUAGCGGUGAAAUGCGUAGAUAUCGAGAGGAACACCUGCGGCGAAGGCGGGUUGCUGGGCUGACACUGACGCUGAAGUGCGAAAGCUAGGGGAGCGAACGGG
rnacentral:rRNA from 1 species